CCUACGGGAGACUGCAGUGAGGAAUAUUGGUCAAUGGACGAGAGUCUGAACCAGCCAAGUAGCGUGAAGGAUGACUGCCCUAUGGGUUGUAAACUUCUUUUAUAUGGGAAUAAAACGUUCCACGUGUGGGAUUUUGUAUGUACCAUAUGAAUAAGGAUCGGCUAACUCCGUGCCAGCAGCCGCGGUAAUACGGAGGAUCCGAGCGUUAUACGGAUUUAUUGGGUUUAAAGGGAGCGUAGGUGGAUUGUUAAGUCAGUUGUGAAAGUUUGCGGCUCAACCGUAAAAUUGCAGUUGAAACUGGCAGUCUUGAGUACAGUAGAGGUGGGCGGAAUUCGUGGUGUAGCGGUGAAAUGCUUAGAUAUCACGAAGAACUCCGAUUGCGAAGGCAGUUCACUGGACUGCAACUGACACUGAGGCUCGAAAGUGUGGGUAUCAAACAGGAUUAGAUACCCUAGUAGUC
rnacentral:rRNA from 1 species